UAAAAUGAGAGUUUGAUCCUGGCUCAGGACGAACGCUGGCGGCGUGCCUAAUACAUGCAAGUCGAACGAAACUUUCUUACACCGAAUGCUUGCAUUCAUCGUAAGAAGUUGAGUGGCGGACGGGUGAGUAACACGUGGGUAACCUGCCUAAAAGAAGGGGAUAACACUUGGAAACAGGUGCUAAUACCGUAUAUCUCUAAGGAUCGCAUGAUCCUUAGAUGAAAGAUGGUUCUGCUAUCGCUUUUAGAUGGACCCGCGGCGUAUUAACUAGUUGGUGGGGUAACGGCCUACCAAGGUGAUGAUACGUAGCCGAACUGAGAGGUUGAUCGGCCACAUUGGGACUGAGACACGGCCCAAACUCCUACGGGAGGCAGCAGUAGGGAAUCUUCCACAAUGGACGCAAGUCUGAUGGAGCAACGCCGCGUGAGUGAAGAAGGUCUUCGGAUCGUAAAACUCUGUUGUUAGAGAAGAACACGAGUGAGAGUAACUGUUCAUUCGAUGACGGUAUCUAACCAGCAAGUCACGGCUAACUACGUGCCAGCAGCCGCGGUAAUACGUAGGUGGCAAGCGUUGUCCGGAUUUAUUGGGCGUAAAGGGAACGCAGGCGGUCUUUUAAGUCUGAUGUGAAAGCCUUCGGCUUAACCGGAGUAGUGCAUUGGAAACUGGAAGACUUGAGUGCAGAAGAGGAGAGUGGAACUCCAUGUGUAGCGGUGAAAUGCGUAGAUAUAUGGAAGAACACCAGUGGCGAAAGCGGCUCUCUGGUCUGUAACUGACGCUGAGGUUCGAAAGCGUGGGUAGCAAACAGGAUUAGAUACCCUGGUAGUCCACGCCGUAAACGAUGAAUGCUAGGUGUUGGAGGGUUUCCGCCCUUCAGUGCCGCAGCUAACGCAAUAAGCAUUCCGCCUGGGGAGUACGACCGCAAGGUUGAAACUCAAAGGAAUUGACGGGGGCCCGCACAAGCGGUGGAGCAUGUGGUUUAAUUCGAAGCAACGCGAAGAACCUUACCAGGUCUUGACAUCCUUUGACCACCUAAGAGAUUAGG
rnacentral:rRNA from 1 species